GAUAUGACUCGGUCGACAAAAGAUUUCUACUCCGCGGGUUGCAGGUUCGAAUCCUGCCGGGAUCGCCA
rnacentral:tRNA from 1 species